GCUCGUGUACUCCGAAUGCUCUAGAUUAAAAGUUUGAUCCUGGCUCAGGCAGAGCGGUAACGGCGUGCCUAAUACAUGCAAGUCGAGCGAACAGAGAAGGAGCUUGCUCCUUUGACGUUAGCGGCGGACGGGUAGAGUAACACGUGGGCAACCUACCUUAUAGUUGGGAUAACUCCGGGAAACCGGGGCUAAUACCGAAUAAUCUAUUUUACUUCAUGGUAAAAUACUGAAAGACGGUUUCGGCUGUCGCUAUAAGAUGGGCCCGCGGCGCAUUAGCUAGUUGGUGAGGUAACGGCUCACCAAGGCGACGAUGCGUAGCCGACCUGAGAGGGUGAUCGGCCACACUGGGACUGAGACACGGCCCAAGACUCCUACGGGAGGCAGCAGUACGGGAAUACUUACCACAAAUAGGGCGAAAGCCUGAUGGAGCAACGCCGCGUGAGUGAAGAACGGUANAUCGGAUCGUCACAAACUCUGUUGUACACGGGAAGAACAAGUACAGUA
rnacentral:rRNA from 1 species